rnacentral:rRNA from 1 species
UACGUAGGGUGCAAGCGUUGUCCGGAAUUAUUGGGCGUAAAGAGCUCGUAGGCGGUUUGUCGCGUCUGCCGUGAAAGUCCGGGGCUCAACUCCGGAUCUGCGGUGGGUACGGGCAGACUAGAGUGAUGUAGGGGAGACUGGAAUUCCUGGUGUAGCGGUGAAAUGCGCAGAUAUCAGGAGGAACACCGGUGGCGAAGGCGGUUCUCUGGGCAUGUUCUGACGCUGAGGAGCGAAAGUGUGGGGAGCGAACAGG